UGAUAAAUUGACACAAUUUAUUGAAUUUUGUGUCAUGGAUUAUGGAUAGGUGGUGAGUCAAUUGUUUCGGGUAAGAGACUGCACCCGAGGGCGGAAGAUAGGAGUAUUUCUACUCCUAAUACUGCUCAGGACAGUUUGUAGAUAGUCGAGUAGGGCGAGAACUAAGCUCGGAACUGCAUUAUA